rnacentral:lncRNA from 1 species
UUGUAGUUUAUGGUCUGAAGCAACAACUUCAGAUAAAAGAUUCUUCAAGUUGGCUUUUACUUUGAAGUUAUUAGAUAACAUACUUCAAAUUAUUUAAUAUAUGAUAUUGCCUUGCAUCAUAUCUGUAGGUAGUAAUAAAGUGUCUUAUUUAUCCAGUUAAUACUUUCUUGCUAUUGAAUCUUGGUAUCUAGAUUUGAAGUGAUGUUUUUCCAUAUUACAUGACUUCCAAAAUAUUGUGCGUAUGACACUACAAAAUUUUUGUUGCAUAUAUGCAUCCAUGUCAGAUUUCCCACAUUUACAUGAGAAGAAACCAUGCUUCUAUAUAGGGGAAGUUGCGCAAGAUUUGAAGCGUGGUUUAAAUUAGUAGGUUUGGUCUCCUGAUAGAUAUUUGUACUUUUAUGAUAACCAUGUUAUCUCAAGGAUCGUGCUUCACUAUUAAUUUUCGAUGUCAUUCCUGGCAGAUUUCUUAACUCAGCAUCAUUGGAUCGAAGAUGGUUAGGAGGUUGAAGAUAUGUCGCGUGAAAGGCGUGGGGAGGCAAGGACGGGACACGCAGGACGCUGCAGUGGAGGACGAACACCACAGCAAGGUAUGUGCAGAGAACAACCACCAUCGUGAAGUCACGACUCCUCUCUUGCAUGUCCACUUCUCCUUGGCUGCCUGGUCAUCAUCAUAUCACAAAUCAAAGUUUUCUUAUUGCGAACUAGAGAAGAUAAAUUUGAUGGUUGUAACUUGCCUGAAGUGCAAGGUCUAAUUCUAUUAUGUGUUGAGUUUAUUAGCAAGAUUGGUCCGUUUUGAUACAAUUUCAUUCUGGUUGCCAUCUACAAGUUACUGUUGCAUCACAGUAAUUUAUUCGGAAGCAAUUAUAAUUGAGAUUGAGAUUUUCUGGGUAGGUUGUCACAAGUAUUUAACUUAUGAUUUCAGUUUGAGAUACAACCGGCAAUCUGAAAUCAGUACUGCUGCUCAGACAAUCUAGAGGGGUUAUAAAAUUUCUUCGCAAAGCUUGUACACAAGCUUAAGAAUAUGCCUGCUACUUCUUUUUUUAGGGAAAUAAAAUGCCUGCUACUUUGGGAUAUUGUGGUGUUAUUAAAUGACCGCUUCAUAAAUCAUAAUAUGAGAUGGAGUUUGAUCAACCAAAAAUGAAGAAUAUUGGAACAAAAAGACGAAGAAUAUUGGUCAACCAAAGGCAAAUUCACUUCAGCCCAAAUUCAUUUGAUGUUGCAACUUUUUCUUAGUUCUUUAAGAUUGAUUUUAGAUGGAGAGCCGGCCCAGUUUGGAUGCCAAUGUUGGUUUUUAGAUCAGUUAAUGGUUCAUUGCAACAUAUGUUCUCCAUAUAAUUUGAUAUGCAAGGUUUUGAUGCAUAGUAAUAGUGAAUUUGGGCUGAAGGGAAGCAAGAGCAGCUAGCAGUAGCAGUUAUAACUGAAGUAAUAAUGGGCACUUCUCUCUUUUCUGAACAAAACUUGAUUUUCUCAUAGUAAAUAGUCCUUUACUGAAUUUAGUUGAUACAUAAAUGGUUAUUUACUGAACAAUACUUGUAUGUGGGUAGGUACGGUGGUGAUGAAGUUUUAAAAUGGUCCAUUGCCCAACAAGGGCAUCCUAAUUUCUUACUGGAAUAUACUGUAACAAUAUGAUAUCGAAAUUUCAAAUGGUUGUAUAUUUGACCCAUACUAUGAUAGACCAAGGCCUGCGUGGACAUGUUGUUCACAUACUAUAAUUCAUUUACAGGAGAUUGUAAAAAUUUAGGCACCAUGUGUUGAGAAAUUGUGCAUUGAGAUAAAAGAUUAUAUAAUUGAUGCAAAGGCAUGUGAUAUAUAUUUGUUUCAGGAAGUAUGUUGAUUCAUGGAGAAUGAUAUUAUAAAUUAUUAGUAUGAUUUAUGAAUUAGGUGUUG